GUGGGGGAUAUUGCACAAUGGGGGAAACCCUGAUGCAGCGACGCCGCGUGGAGGAAGAAGGUUUUCGGAUUGUAAACUCCUGUCGUUAGGGACGAUAAUGACGGUACCUAACAAGAAAGCACCGGCUAACUACGUGCCAGCAGCCGCGGUAAAACGUAGGGUGCAAGCGUUGUCCGGAAUUACUGGGUGUAAAGGGAGCGCAGGCGGACCGGCAAGUUGGAAGUGAAAACCAUGGGCUCAACCCAUGAAUUGCUUUCAAAACUGCUGGCCUUGAGUAGUGCAGAGGUAGGUGGAAUUCCCGGUGUAGCGGUGGAAUGCGUAGAUAUCGGGAGGAACACCAGUGGCGAAGGCGACCUACUGGGCACCAACUGACGCUGAGGCUCGAAAGCAUGGGUAGCAAACAGGAUUAGAUACCCUGGUAGUCC
rnacentral:rRNA from 1 species